UUACUUCGGUUUGAAGUCUUUUAUGACUGAGUGGCGGACGGGUGAGUAACGCGUGGGUAACCUGCCUCAUACAGGGGGAUAGCAGCUGGAAACGGCUGGUAAUACCGCAUAAGCGCACGGUAUCGCAUGAUACAGUGUGAAAAACUCCGGUGGUAUGAGAUGGACCCGCGUCUGAUUAGCUGGUUGGUGAGGUAACGGCCCACCAAGGCGACGAUCAGUAGCCGACCUGAGAGGGUGACCGGCCACAUUGGGACUGAGACACGGCCCAGACUCC
rnacentral:rRNA from 1 species